rnacentral:rRNA from 1 species
ACUUUCAACAACGGAUCUCUUGGCUCUCGCAUCGAUGAAGAACGUAGCGAAGUGCGAUAAGUAAUGUGAAUUGCAGAGUUCCGUGAAUCAUCGAAUCUUUGAACGCAAAUUGCACUCUCUUCGGAGAGUAUGCCUGUUUGAG